GGUGGACCUGCGGAAGGAUCAUUG
rnacentral:rRNA from 1 species